GACGAACCGUGCGAACGUUGUUCGGAAUCACUGGGCUUAAAGGGCGCGUAGGCGGGCUGCCAAGUCUGGGGUGAAAUCCCACGGCUCAACCGUGGAACUGCCUCGGAUACUGGCGGUCUCGAGGGAGGUAGGGGCAUGCGGAACUGUGGGUGGAGCGGUGAAAUGCGUUGAUAUCCACAGGAACUCCGUUGGCGAAAGCGGCGUGCUGGACCUCUUCUGACGCUGAGGCGCGAAAGCUAGGGGAGCGAACGGG
rnacentral:rRNA from 1 species